rnacentral:rRNA from 1 species
UACGAAGGGGGCUAGCGUUGCUCGGAAUCACUGGGCGUAAAGGGUGCGUAGGCGGGUCUUUAAGUCAGGGGUGAAAUCCUGGAGCUCAACUCCAGAACUGCCUUUGAUACUGAGGAUCUUGAGUUCGGGAGAGGUGAGUGGAACUGCGAGUGUAGAGGUGGAAUUCGUAGAUAUUAGGAAGAACACCCGUGGCGAAGGCGGCUCUCUGGGACGGUACUGACGCUGAGGCGCGAAAGCGUGGGGAGCGAACAGG